rnacentral:rRNA from 1 species
GUUUAUCAAAAACAUGUCUAUUUGAUGGUAUAAGUAGUCUGGCCUGCCCACUGAUUUAAAUAUUAAAGGGCCGCGGUAUUUUAACCGUGCAAAGGUAGCAUAAUCAUUAGGUUUUUAAUUAGAAUCUUGUAUGAAUGGUUCGACAAAAGAAGUACUGUCUUUGUAUUAAAAUUUGAAUUUAACUUUUAAGUGAAAAGGCUUAAAUAUAUUAAAGGGACGAUAAGACCCUAUAAAACUUUACAUUGUAAUUUUAUUUAAUUAAAUUUAUAAAAUAAAAAUUUGAUUUAAUUAUAUGUUAUGUUGGGGAGACAGAAGUAAAAUAAAUUUUAACUGCUUUAUGUUAAAACAUAUAUUUAUGAAAUAUUAAAUGAUCCUUUAUAAAGAUUAAAAGAUUAAGUUACUUUAGGGAUAACAGCGUUAUUUUUUUUGAGAGUUCCUAUCGAAAAGAAAGUUUGCGACCUCGAUGUUGAAUUAAAAUAUCUUUAUGGUGCAGAAGCUAUAAAAGAAGGUCUGUUCGACCUUUAAAUUUUUACAUGAUUUGAGUUCAAACCGGCGUGAGCCAGGUUGGUUUCUAUCUUUUAAAUAAUAAUGGGUUAUUUUAGUACGAAAGGAGUAAAUAACUAAAAUAUUUUUAUAUAGCUAUUUUGGCAGAUAAUAUGA